GUGGCGAACGGGUGAGUAACACGUGAGCAACCUGCCCCUGACUCUGGGAUAAGCGCUGGAAACGGCGUCUAAUACUGGAUAUGUACCACGAUCGCAUGGUCUGUGGUUGGAAAGAUUUUUCGGUUGGGGAUGGGCUCGCGGCCUAUCAGCUUGUUGGUGAGGUAAUGGCUCACCAAGGCGUCGACGGGUAGCCGGCCUGAGAGGGUGACCGGCCACACUGGGACUGAGACACGGCCCAGACUCCUACGGGAGGCAGCAGUGGGGAAUAUUGCACAAUGGGCGCAAGCCUGAUGCAGCAACGCCGCGUGAGGGAUGACGGCCUUCGGGUUGUAAACCUCUUUUAGCAGGGAAGAAGCGAAAGUGACGGUACCUGCAGAAAAAGCGCCGGCUAACUACGUGCCAGCAGCCGCGGUAAUACGUAGGGCGCAAGCGUUAUCCGGAAUUAUUGGGCGUAAAGAGCUCGUAGGCGGUUUGUCGCGUCUGCUGUGAAAUCCGGAGGCUCAACCUCCGGCCUGCAGUGGGUACGGGCAGACUAGAGUGCGGUAGGGGAGAUUGGAAUUCCUGGUGUAGCGGUGGAAUGCGCAGAUAUCAGGAGGAACACCGAUGGCGAAGGCAGAUCUCUGGGCCGUAACUGACGCUGAGGAGCGAAAGGGUGGGGAGCAAACAGGCUUAGAUACCCUGGUAGUCCACCCCGUAAACGUUGGGAACUAGUUGUGGGGUCCAUUCCACGGAUUCCGUGACGCAGCUAACGCAUUAAGUUCCCCGCCUGGGGAGUACGGCCGCAAGGCUAAAACUCAAAGGAAUUGACGGGGANCCGCACAAGCGGCGGAGCAUGCGGAUUAAUUCGAUGCAACGCGAAGAACCUUACCAAGGCUUGACAUAU
rnacentral:rRNA from 1 species